rnacentral:rRNA from 1 species
GAUGAACGCUGGCGGCGUGCUUAACACAUGCAAGUCGAACGGAAAGGCCCAAGCUUGCUUGGGUACUCGAGUGGCGAACGGGUGAGUAACACGUGGGUGAUCUGCCCUGCACUUCGGGAUAAGCCUGGGAAACUGGGUCUAAUACCGGAUAGGACCACAUUUUGCAUGGUGUGGUGGAAAGUUUUUCGGUGUGGGAUGAGCUCGCGGCCUAUCAGCUUGUUGGUGGGGUAAUGGCCUACCAAGGCGUCGACGGGUAGCCGGCCUGAGAGGGUGUACGGCCACAUUGGGACUGAGAUACGGCCCAGACUCCUACGGGAGGCAGCAGUGGGGAAUAUUGCACAAUGGGCGCAAGCCUGAUGCAGCGACGCCGCGUGGGGGAUGACGGCCUUCGGGUUGUAAACUACUUUCGCUAGGGACGAAGCGCAAGUGACGGUACCUGGAGAAGAAGCACCGGCUAACUACGUG